CGGUGACUGGUUGUCACCUCGAACCCAAACUCAUUCUCAUAGAUUGCAGGCAAUUACAAUCGGGCUGAAGGACGGUGAUUGUUUAACUACGGCUACGGUGGAAUCCAAACUACAAUAUUAGGGGUUUUUCCCCGGUUUCGACGGAAGGCUCCGGUGUCUCUCCAUCUCCGACAUAUAUAUAUAUGUCGGGUUGGCGUUAAGAUUUGAGUUAGGGUUGAGGGCGUGAAACGAAUCCCUAUUGGCGCUAGACGUGAUCAUUAUGCAAUAGAGGAGAUAUUUACUAGUGCAAAUAUGACUAUGAUGGAAUUGGACAAGUAAUCACGAUAAU
rnacentral:misc_RNA from 1 species